UGCGCGUUAAUGAUCCCUUCCGUAGGUGAACCUGCGGAAGGAUCAUUA
rnacentral:rRNA from 1 species